GGUCUAUUCUGCAAGAUUUGUAUACAGUAGGACAUAUAAAUUUCAACAAGGAAUAUUGAGACCGUUUACAUUUAAAGAAAUUACUUUAACAGUGUUAUCCAUUACUAAAUUGUGAAUCGGCUGGUCUAUCGACUCAGGAAGGCCUCUCACUCUUAAAUUGCAUCGUCGCCCUCUAUUAUCAAGGUCCUCGACUCUGCGGGCAGAGUUUUAAGAUAUGAAAGAGUACCUUGAUCUGUAUUAAUGGAUUCACAUUCAGAGUCUGCGUCUGUGCCAUCCGGUUUGCCUGUCUCUGAGCUACCCUCGUGUGCGUCGCUGUCUUGCUCCGCUGGUGUUAGAAACUUUUUCAGAAACUUCUGUGAUUCGGUAAGUCUGUUCCCCUUUGGUUCUUCCCUUUGGGGAUCUCUGUUUUUACUGUGUUUCCCCAUGUUUAGUAGGUUAUUUCCUCACGAUUGGA